GAUGAACGCUGGCGGCGUGCCUAAUACAUGCAAGUCGAGCGAACGGACGAGAAGCUUGCUUCUCUGAUGUUAGCGGCGGACGGGUGAGUAACACGUGGAUAACCUACCUAUAAGACUGGGAUAACUUCGGGAAACCGGAGCUAAUACCGGAUAAUAUUUUGAACCGCAUGGUUCAAAAGUAAAAGACGGUCUUGCUGUCACUUAUAGAUGGAUCCGCGCUGCAUUAGCUAGUUGGUAAGGUAACGGCUUACCAAGGCAACGAUGCAUAGCCGACCUGAGAGAGUGAGCGGCCACACUGGAACUGAGACACGGUCCAGACUCCUACGGGAGGCAGCAGUAGGGAAUCUUCCGCAAUGGGCGAAAGCCUGACGGAGCAACGCCGCGUGAGUGAUGAAGGUCUUCGGAUCGUAAAACUCUGUUAUUAGGGAAGAACAUAUGUGUAAGUAACUGUGCACAUCUUGACGGUACCUAAUCAGAAAGCCACGGCUAACUACGUG
rnacentral:rRNA from 1 species